UUCUAUGGCCAUAUCAUGCUGGACACACUCUAUCUCGUCUGAUCUGGGAAGCUAAGCAGGGGCAGGCCUGGUUAGUACUUGGAUGGGAGAAACGCAAUAUUAUAGAACCUUAAGAGCUGAAGGAC
ensembl:rRNA 5S_rRNA 5S ribosomal RNA